UGCGGCCGCCGGUCUUCAAACCAAAGGUGGUUCCGCGGUCGUACACCAGGUUGAACUCCAC
rnacentral:tRNA from 13 species